GGCCAAGUUUUUAAGGGCGCACGGUGGAUGCCUUGGCACCAGGAACCGAUGAAGGACGUGGGAGGCCACGAUAGUCCCCGGGGAGUCGUCAACCAGGCUUUGAUCCGGGGGUUUCCGAAUGGGGAAACCCGGCAGUCGUCAUGGGCUGUCACCCGCUGCUGAACACAUAGGCAGUGUGGAGGGAACGCGGGGAAGUGAAACAUCUCAGUACCCGCAGGAAGAGAAAACAACCGUGAUUCCGGGAGUAGUGGCGAGCGAAACUGGAUGAGGCCAAACCGUAUACGUGUGAGACCCGGCAGGGGUUGCGUGUGCGGGGUUGUGGGAUCUCUCUUCUACGGUCUGCCGGCCGUAGGGCGAGUCAGAAACCGUUGAUGUAGGCGAAGGACAUGCGAAAGGUCCGGCGUAGAGGGUAAGACCCCCGUAGUCGAAACGUCAGCGGCUUGCUUGAGAGACACCCAAGUAGCACGGGGCCCGAGAAAUCCCGUGUGAAUCUGGCGGGACCACCCGCUAAGCCUAAAUAUUCCCUGGUGACCGAUAGCGGAUAGUACCGUGAGGGAAUGGUGAAAAGUACCGCGGGAGCGGAGUGAAAUAGUACCUGAAACCGUGUGCCUACAAGCCGUGGGAGCGUCGGACAUCAAGCUUGCUUGGUGUCUCGUGACUGCGUGCCUUUUGAAGAAUGAGCCUGCGAGUUUGCGGUGUGUUGCGAGGUUAACCCGGGUGGGGUAGCCGUAGCGAAAGCGAGUCCGAACAGGGCGAUUCAGUAGCACGCUCAAGACCCGAAGCGGAGUGAUCUAGCCAUGGGCAGGUUGAAGCGGAGGUAAGACUUCGUGGAGGACCGAACCCACCAGGGUUGAAAACCUGGGGGAUGACCUGUGGUUAGGGGUGAAAGGCCAAUCAAACUCCGUGAUAGCUGGUUCUCCCCGAAAUGCAUUUAGGUGCAGCGUCGUGUGUUUCUUGCCGGAGGUAGAGCACUGGAUAGGCGAUGGGCCCUACCGGGUUACUGACCUUAGCCAAACUCCGAAUGCCGGUAAGUGAGAGCGCGGCAGUGAGACUGUGGGGGAUAAGCUCCAUGGUCGAGAGGGAAACAGCCCAGAGCAUCGACUAAGGCCCCUAAGCGUACGCUAAGUGGGAAAGGAUGUGGAGUCGCACAGACAACCAGGAGGUUGGCUUAGAAGCAGCCACCCUUGAAAGAGUGCGUAAUAGCUCACUGGUCUAGUGAUUCCGCGCCGACAAUGUAGCGGGGCUCAAGCGUACCGCCGAAGUCGUGUCAUUGCAGCAAUACGGCCAACGCCGGCUGUGAUGGGUAGGGGAGCGUCGUGUGCCGGGUGAAGCAGCGCCGGAAGGCAGUUGUGGACGGUUCACGAGUGAGAAUGCAGGCAUGAGUAGCGAUACAAACGUGAGAAACGUUUGCGCCGAUUGACUAAGGGUUCCUGGGUCAAGCUGAUCUGCCCAGGGUAAGUCGGGACCUAAGGCGAGGCCGACAGGCGUAGUCGAUGGAUAACCGGUUGAUAUUCCGGUACCCGCUGUGAAGCGUCAAACAUCGAGCAUCGUGAUGCUAAGGCCGUGAAGCCGCCCUGAUCUCUUCGGAGUUGAGGGGAGUGGUGGAGCCGCUGAACCAAGCGGUUAGUAGGUGAGUGAUGGGGUGACGCAGGAAGGUAGUCCAUCCCGGGCGGUGGUUGUCCCGGGGUAAGGGUGUAGCCCGUCAUCUAGGUAAAUCCGGAUGACAUGAGGGUGAGACCUGAUGCCGAGCCGAUUGUGGUGAAGUGGAUGAUCCUAUGCUGUCGAGAAAAGCCUCUAGCGAGUUUCAUGGCGGCCCGUACCCUAAACCGACUCAGGUGGUCAGGUAGAGAAUACCGAGGCGUUCGGGUGAACUAUGGUUAAGGAACUCGGCAAAAUGCCCCCGUAACUUCGGGAGAAGGGGGGCCACGUCUGGUGAUCGGAUUUACUCCGUGAGCUGGGGGUGGCCGCAGAGACCAGCGAGAAGCGACUGUUUACUAAAAACACAGGUCCGUGCGAAGCCGUAAGGCGAUGUAUACGGACUGACGCCUGCCCGGUGCUGGAACGUUAAGGGGACCGGUUAGCUUGGAUUCGUCCAGGCGAAGCUGAGAACUUAAGCGCCAGUAAACGGCGGUGGUAACUAUAACCAUCCUAAGGUAGCGAAAUUCCUUGUCGGGUAAGUUCCGACCUGCACGAAUGGCGUAACGACUUCUCGACUGUCUCAACCAUAGGCCCGGUGAAAUUGCACUACGAGUAAAGAUGCUCGUUUCGCGCAGCAGGACGGAAAGACCCCGGGACCUUUACUACAGUUUGAUAUUGGUGUUCGGUUCGGCUUGUGUAGGAUAGCUGGGAGACUUUGAAGCUCGCACGCCAGUGUGGGUGGAGUCGUCGUUGAAAUACCAGUCUGGUCGUGCUGGAUGUCUAACCUGGGUCCGUGAUCCGGAUCAGGGACAGUGUCUGAUGGGUAGUUUAACUGGGGCGGUUGCCUCCUAAAGAGUAACGGAGGCGCCCAAAGGUUCCCUCAGCCUGGUUGGCAAUCAGGUGUUGAGUGUAAGUGCACAAGGGAGCUUGACUGUGAGACCGACGGGUCGAGCAGGGACGAAAGUCGGGACUAGUGAUCCGGCGGUGGCUUGUGGAAGCGCCGUCGCUCAACGGAUAAAAGGUACCCCGGGGAUAACAGGCUGAUCUUCCCCAAGAGUCCAUAUCGACGGGAUGGUUUGGCACCUCGAUGUCGGCUCGUCGCAUCCUGGGGCUGGAGUCGGUCCCAAGGGUUGGGCUGUUCGCCCAUUAAAGCGGUACGCGAGCUGGGUUUAGAACGUCGUGAGACAGUUCGGUCCCUAUCCGCUGUGCGCGUAGGAGUCUUGAGAAGGGCUGUCCCUAGUACGAGAGGACCGGGACGGACGAACCUCUGGUGUGCCAGUUGUUCUGCCAAGGGCAUGGCUGGUUGGCUACGUUCGGGAGGGAUAACCGCUGAAAGCAUCUAAGCGGGAAGCCUGCUUCGAGAUGAGGACUCCCACCCACUUGAUGGGGUAAGGCUCCCAGUAGACGACUGGGUUGAUAGGCCAGAUAUGGAAGCCGGGUAACCGGUGGAGUUGACUGGUACUAAUAGGCCGAGGGCUUGUCCUC
rnacentral:rRNA from 1 species